GACGAACGCUGACGGCGUGCUUAACACAUGCAAGUCGAACGGUGAACCAGGGCUUGCCCUGGGGAUCAGUGGCGAACGGGUGAGUAACACGUGGGCAACCUGCCCCUGACUCUGGGAUAACUCCUCGAAAGAGGUGCUAAUACCGGAUACGACCACUUCGGGCAUCCGAUGGUGGUGGAAAGAAUUUUGGUCAGGGGUGGGCCCGCGGCCUAUCAGCUUGUUGGUGGGGUAACGGCCCACCAAGGCGACGACGGGUAGCCGGCCUGAGAGGGCGACCGGCCACACUGGGACUGAGACACGGCCCAGACUCCUACGGGAGGCAGCAGUGGGGAAUAUUGCGCAAUGGGCGAAAGCCUGACGCAGCGACGCCGCGUGAGGGACGACGGCCCUCGGGUUGUAAACCUCUUUCAGCAGGGACGAAGCGAAAGUGACGGUACCUGCAGAAGAAGCACCGGCUAACUACGUGCCAGCAGCCGCGGUAAU
rnacentral:rRNA from 1 species